rnacentral:tRNA from 1 species
CUCAGAAAGUUAGUCUAGUAAAGACAGUUGAUUUCGGCUCAACAAACCACAGUCCCACUCCGUGACUUUCUC